GUAUAGCUUCAUUAGGCUCAAAACAACAUUUGAAGGAGAAAAAAAAAAAAGGGGGGAGGAAGAACAGCCGAGAGAGAGAGUGUGGGUUUGUGUGUGUGUAGACUGCUGGGAACAAAGGAAGGAAAGAAAAUCUAACUAAAGGAAGAAAGGCCAGGAAGAAAAGCAAGAAAAGUCCAAGAAAAUUUAAAGGAAGGCUCAAGUUUUUGGAAGGAACCCAAGGAGAAUUAGAAGGGAUUCAACUAAGGUCACGCGCCAUUGUCUGCCUGGUUUAUCUGAUAUGUCCAGUCUGUCUGAUUUUCUUCUGCAGCUAUCUGUGAGCCGGUACGUGAUCAGGUCCAGAGUUGACGGCCUUCAUUUCUGUUUUUGUCAGCCAACCAUUGUGCCUCCCGUAGAGGUUCCGAAUAUGUCAAGUGAUUGUUGCGAUGUGAUUUAAAGUUUUAGUUCUGUUUUCUUGUUUGGUUAAACAAGUCUUGUGUAUUUUGUAAAAGAGGCUAAGUCCUUUUUGUUUGAUCUGUAUAUAUAUUAUGACGUAGGGACGAUGUGUAUAUAUGUAUAUAAAAAGUUUAAAAUUUUUUUGUCUCA